CUUACUAGUCAUAAGGGUCUAUAAUUAUUUACAUUGUUGUGGAACUUGUAGCCGACGAGGCUACUCUAUGUAAUAAACUAUUUAUAUAUAUAAUCCUGGUCAUUCCGGCACCAAAAAUGUACCUUUCCCCAUCUACUACUAAACUAAUUAACUAAAAUUCAACCAGGAUUAAAUAAAAAUAGGAAAAUAAAUAAAUUUGGCCAUGUGAUCGUCUAGUGUAUUUACGUUGUGAACCUUAGUACCCUUCGUCUUUUAUGUGAAAACUGAUACGAUUUGGAUUUUUCAAAACUAUCCCUAAAUAUCCUAUGAAUUUGUAAAUAUUCCUACUGUAUAUUUUUAUUAACACUAUUGUUAGACAAAUAAAAAAAUAGUAAAUAAUAUAUAUUUUUUAGAAUUUAUCUCCUACCGGGCCCUACCGUGACCAGUUACCGUGAACAGUAACGAGAAGAAACGCCAAGAAACUCAUCUGAAUGUACUAUUAAUGUAUGGAAUACUGAAAACAAUCGUCUAUUAAAUAUGACUUUAUUUACCCUUUAAUUCCCCAGUUAUAGAAAAGCUCAAUUGUCACUAGUGAACUGCUCCGCCUGUCACUAGCUCCCUA